rnacentral:rRNA from 1 species
GACGAACGCUGGCGGCGUGCUUAACACAUGCAAGUCGAACGGAAAGGCCCUGCUUUUGUGGGGUGCUCGAGUGGCGCACGGGUGAAUAACACGUGAAUGACCUGCCCUUGACUUGGUGAUAACUUCAGAAAAAUGGUGAUAAUGUCUGAUAGGAGCUCCUGCUGCAUGGUGGGGGUUAGAAAGUUUCCGCGUGUGUGGAUGGACUCGCGGCUUAUCAGCUUGUGGGUGGGGUAGUGGCUUACCAAAGCUUUGACGGGUAGCCGGCCUGAGAGGGUGACCGGCCACAUUGGGACUGCGAUACGGCCCAGACUCCUACGGGAGGCAGCAGUGGGGAAUAUUGUACAAUGGGCGGAAGCCUGAUGCAGCAACGCCGCGUGCGUGAUGACGGUCUGCGGGUUGUAAACCGCUUUCGCCUGUGACGAAGCGUGAGUGACGGUAAUGGGUAAAGAAGCACCGGCUAACUACGUG